AAGUCGUAACAAGGUUUCCGUAGGUGAACCUGCGGAAGGAUCAUUCAUAAUAAGUGUUUUAUGGCACUUUUUAAAUCCAUAUCCACCUUGUGUGCAAUGUCAGUCGUUCUCUCUUUCGAGAGCGACCAAACAUCAACUUAUUCUUUAACUCUUUGUCUGAAAAAUAUUAUGAAUAAAAUAAUUCAAAAUACAACUUUCAACAACGGAUCUCUUGGCUCUCGCAUCGAUGAAGAACGCAGCGAAAUGCGAUACGUAAUGUGAAUUGCAGAAUUCAGUGAAUCAUCGAAUCUUUGAACGCAUAUUGCGCUCUUUGGUAUUCCGAAGAGCAUGCUUGUUUGAGUAUCAGUAAACACCUCAAAGACUUCAAUUUGUUUUGAAUGGCUUUGGACUUGAGCAAUCCCAACACCAGUCUUUACGAUCGGUGGAGGGUUGCUUGAAAUGCAGGUGCAGCUGGACAUUCUCCUGAGCUAAAAGCAUAUUUAUUUAGUCCCGUCAAACGGAUUAUUACUUUUGCUGCAGCUAACAUAAAGGGAGGUUGACCGUAUUGGCUGACUGAUGCAGGAUUUCACAAGGGUCGGCAACGAUUCUUGUAAAACUCGAUCUCAAAUCAAGUAAGACUACCCGCUGAACUUAA
rnacentral:rRNA from 1 species